rnacentral:piRNA from 1 species
AUGUUAAUGGAUGACUCAGC